AUUACAUGUUGUCUUGCUCAAGAAUGCACCAAGCACCUAGUUGUCGAAGGUGAGGUUGUCUUUCACAAAUAUCCAAGAAAUCCUAAUAGAUUUUAUCCAUAUGAGAAGAACACAAUCUGAAUUUCAAUUCAAAAGUGCUAAAAAUACUCUUCUUAGUAGCCUUAAUCAUACAUAAAUCCCAAUUACCUUAUUACUUUAUAUUUAAGGAAUUUAGAUUUUUCUUGUAAGUCCCAAUCAUAAUCAAUGAACUUUAAUAAGCUGUAAUAUCCAAUCUGAUCGUCUACUUGAUAUAAAAUUUUGCAUGCAAUUGUCAAUGUAAGUCUUCUAUAUGCUCAAAAAUUUUUAGGCCAAUCUAACUUAAAAAUUAUGAGAAAACCUCCAAAAAGUGCAUUGAUGUCACUUGGCCGCCAACUUGAAAAGUGAAGCAGAAAUCCCAGUAGUGAUAUCUCCCUUUCCAACCGUUAACUUUGACUCAAAAUUUUUAUGCAGCUUGAUCUUUAAGUCCUUCAACACCACGCCAAAUUUCACCUUGAUCCAACUAAUAGAUCUCUAAAUUUUAUAGAAACCCUACCCAACCUCAAACUGCCAACUUUUGAAACCCUCUUGUGCUAAAAACUAGUUAUCUCUAAACCACGCUAUUAGAUUAUCACAAAAUUUUGUAUACACGUAGCACACCCAAUUAUCCAAACAAUUUUAAUUUUUCAACUAUAGUUGCUACACCAAUUGUACAAACUAGCUAAAAUUACUAGUCCUAAUUAUAUUAUAUAAAAUUCAAAUCACCAAUACAAACCCUGACUUUGAAUAAUAAUUGUUAAGUCCUCAAAAAUCCUCCAAAAAAAAUCCUUAUGCCUCUAGAAAUGAAUUCAAGCUAGCUCUCAAAUCCUAUCUUU
rnacentral:lncRNA from 1 species